AAAAUACUCCCUCUGUCCCAUAAUUCUUGUCUCAAAUUGGCCCAAAAAUGGAUGUAUCUAUAUUCCUAAAAAGCGUCUAGAUACAUGUAAUAUUUCGACAAGAAUUAUGGGACGGAGGGAGUACCAC
rfam:Brachypodium distachyon strain Bd21 chromosome 2, whole genome shotgun sequence.